CCUGAUUGAUUCUGUCAGCGCGAUAUGCUCAAGUAAAAGAUUAAGCCAUGCAUGCUUUGAUUCAUAAAUGAAAUUGCGUACGGCUCAUUAGAGCAGAUAUCACCUUUCUCGGAAUCCUGAAAAGGAUAACUGCGGAAAUUCUGGAGCUAAUACAUGCGACUAUACUCCAACGCAAGGCGGGGUGCAAUUAUUAGAACAGACCAAACGUUUUCGGACGUUGUUUGUUGACUCUGAAUACCGUCGUUUACUGUCAGUUUCGACUGACUCUAUCCGAAGAAGGGUGUCUGCCCUUUCAACUAGAUGGUAAUCUAUUGGACUACCAUGGUUGUUACGGGUAACGGAGAAUUAGGGUUCGACUCCGGAGAGGGAGCCUUAGAAACGGCUACCACGUCCAAGGAAGGCAGCAGGCGCGAAACUUAUCCACUGUUGAGUAUGAGAUAGUGACUAAAAAUAUAAAGACUCAUCCUUUUGGAUGAGUUAUUUCAAUGAGUUGAAUAUAAAUUAUUCUUCGAGUAGCAAGGAGAGGGCAAGUCUGGUGCCAGCAGCCGCGGUAAUUCCAGCUCUCCUAGUGUAUCUCGUUAUUGCUGCGGUUAAAAAGCUCGUAGUUGGAUCUAGGUUACGUGCCGCAGUUCGCAAUUUGCGUUAACUGUGGUCGUGACUUCUAAUUUGCUGGUUUGAGGUUGGGUUCGCCCUUCAACUGCCAGCAGGUUUACCUUGAAUAAAUCAGAGUGCUCAAUACAGGCGCUUGCUUGAAUAGCUCAUCAUGGAAUAAUGAAACAGGACUUCGGUUCUUUUUGUUGGUUCUAGAAUUGAUCUAAUGGUUAAGAGGGACAAACCGGGGGCAUUCGUAUCAUUACGCGAGAGGUGAAAUUCGUGGACCGUAGUGAGACGCCCAAUAGCGAAAGCAUUUGCCAAGAAUGUCUUCAUUAAUCAAGAACGAAAGUCAGAGGUUCGAAGGCGAUUAGAUACCGCCCUAGUUCUGACCGUAAACGAUGCCAUCUCGCGAUUCGGAGGGUUCAUGCCCUACCGAGGAGCUACCCGGAAACGAAAGUCUUUCGGUUCCGGGGGUAGUAUGGUUGCAAAGCUGAAACUUAAAGAAAUUGACGGAAGGGCACCACAAGGCGUGGAGCUUGCGGCUUAAUUUGACUCAACACGGGAAAACUCACCCGGUCCGGACACUAUUAGGACUGACAGAUUGAAAGCUCUUUCUCGAUUUGGUGGUUGGUGGUGCAUGGCCGUUCUUAGUUGGUGGAGUGAUUUGUCUGGGUUUAUUCCGAUAACGAGCGAGACUCUAGCCUGCUAAAUAGUCGACGAAUCUUCGGGUUCGUAAUAACUUCUUAGAGGGA
rnacentral:ncRNA from 1 species